rnacentral:rRNA from 1 species
ACGCUAGCUACAGGCUUAACACAUGCAAGUCGAGGGGAAACGGCAUUAAGUGCUUGCACUUUUUGGACGUCGACCGGCGCACGGGUGAGUAACGCGUAUCCAACCUUCCCAUGACUAAGGGAUAACCUGCCGAAAGGCAGACUAAUACCUUAUGGUCUUCACUGACGGCAUCAGAUGUGAAGUAAAGAUUUAUCGGUUAUGGAUGGGGAUGCGUCUGAUUAGUUAGUUGGCGGGGUAACGGCCCACCAAGGCAACGAUCAGUAGGGGUUCUGAGAGGAAGGUCCCCCACAUUGGAACUGAGACACGGUCCAAACUCCUACGGGAGGCAGCAGUGAGGAAUAUUGGUCAAUGGGCGAGAGCCUGAACCAGCCAAGUAGCGUGCAGGAUGACGGCCCUAUGGGUUGUAAACUGCUUUUGUAUGGGGAUAAAGUCAAUCACGUGUGAUUGUUUGCAGGUACCAUACGAAUAAGGACCGGCUAAUUCCGUGCCAGCAGCCGCGGUAAUACGGAAGGUCCGGGCGUUAUCCGGAUUUAUUGGGUUUAAAGGUAGCGUAGGCUGGAGAUUAAGUGUGUUGUGAAAUGUAGACGCUCAACGUCUGACUUGCAGCGCAUACUGGUUUCCUUGAGUACGCACAACGUUGGCGGAAUUCGUCGUGUAGCGGUGAAAUGCUUAGAUAUGACGAAGAACUCCGAUUGCGAAGGCAGCUGACGGGAGCGCAACUGACGCUGAAGCUCGAAGGUGCGGGUAUCGAACAGGAUUAGAUACCCUGGUAGUCCGCACAGUAAACGAUGGAUGCCCGCUGUUGGUACGUGGUAUCAGCGGCUAAGCGAAAGCAUUAAGCAUCUCACCUGGGGAGUACGCCGGCAACGGUGAAACUCAAAGGAAUUGACGGGGGCCCGCACAAGCGGAGGAACAUGUGG